GGGCCGGGCGCUGCGCUGCGCUGUGGGCCGGCAGCUAUGGCGGCGGUGGAGGAUGAGGCCUGGGGAGGCACCGGGGGGAGCCGGGCGAUGCCUGGGCCUGGCGGGGCCGUAUCGCACCGCAGGGUCCGGCGCCGGGCUGCGGAACGCUCACAUCGGGUUCUCUUCGGGCUCACAGAGUUCUGCUAAUAAAAUGGUGAAAUCCAAGCAGUGAGGAGUGCACCUUGUCUUUGCAGAGACUGCUUCUAUUGCUGUUAAGGUGUGUAGUUUGGGGCUUCUCCAGUUAUCUCUCCUUUCUUUCCAUGCAAUACCUCAGAGGCCACAAUCCCUCUUGUCCUAUUUCCAGGUUAUAAGUGGGCAGUUGGAGCAGAAAAAAUAACACUGGAUUUGACUGAAGCCCCUGGAGAAGUAUGACCUUGCUGUUCUCCCUUGCUAAGAGAUACAGCCUUCCUGUCUCCUUGGCUAAGCCAAGGUUGAAUACAAACCUUUGUAAACUAUAAAAUCCGGAUCUGGGAAGGAACAUCCUCCUGCCCCCACUCUGGGGAUGGAGACCCUGAAGACAUUCUUAACACACACAAAUUUAACAUGAACUGAAGCUCCUGAAUCAGAAGCAGACACCCUCAAUGGAGAGAAGCAGUUAUGCUGUUGACAUCCUGAAAUCCUCUUCUGAACUGAUUAUGUGCUAGCAGUAAAACUGACACAGUUAUGGUUAUUAAGUUGUUUUCUGAUUUUUAUGGUUUUUGGGUGUUUUUUGUUUUACAUUUUACCAGAAACAUAGAAAUUCUCUCUUCGGCCUAAUAGGCUCUUGCAUCAUUUCUGUCCUGUGUGCUAUAUUAAAGAGCAUCUACAUCAUCAGCAGAUAUUUCUGCUGUGCUGAAUCUGCACACUAAGUCAAACUCAAAAGUGCAGGGCAUUUAUCCCCCCUGGCCUUUCAGCGUAGACUUAGUGGUUUAUUGUUCAUCAGUUCUGUAUUCUAAAUGGUGAUGCCUGGAAGAAACACUAGGCAAUAUGUUCAGCGUAGUUUUUGGUGCCAGUAACCUGUGUUCACACAUAAAAUCUAGCAAAAUACAGUUUAUACAGAAUUAUGAUUAUAAGUGUGUAUACAAAUAGAUGGAAAAAAAAACCAACUCUCAAGGAGUUUCUGCAAAUGACUUAAUGUCAAGCUGGAA